rnacentral:misc_RNA from 1 species
GAUGAAGAACGUAGCGAAAUGCGAUACUUGGUGUGAAUUGCAGAAUCCCGUGAACCAUCGAGUCUUUGAACGCAAGUUGCGCCCGAAGCCAUCAGGUUGAGGGCACGUCUGCCUGGGCGUCACAUAUCGUUGCCCAAUGCCUAUUGCAGUGCAAUAGGAAUUUCUAGGGCGAAUGAUGGCUUCCCGUGAGCGUUGUUGCCUCGCGGUUGGUUGAAAAUCGAGUCCUUGGCAGGGUGUGCCAUGGUAGAUGGUGGUCGAGUUAGAACGAUACCGAUCAUGUGCAUGCUCCCCAAAAUAUGGCCUCUAUGACCCACACGCGUCUUUUGACGCUCAUGACGAGACCUCAGGUCAGGCGGGGCUACCCGCUGAAUUUAAGCAUAUCAAUAAGCGGAGGA